AUGCAAAGGCCCAAGCUUGGGGAUGCUAUGUUUGAUGAGAAUGACAUGUCUGAGAAUUUAUUUGCUGCAAUUAAUGUUUGUCCCAAACUUGGGGAUGCUAUGUUUAAUGGAGAUGAUAUUUUUAGUCUCCCAAGUUUUGAUAUGCAAAUUCAUUAUGAUGAUAGCAUGCCCCCUAUUUAUGAUGAUUAUAUUGAUGAAAGUGGGUUUGGAAUAGUGUCAACUUUAGGAAGUAAUGAUCCCACUAUUUUGGAGGGUGUUGAAUCUUAUUGUGAUAAUUAUGAAAGUGGAUUUGGAGAGGUCAUGACUUUAUUUAGUAAUUAUUCCACUAUCUUGGAAGAGGUUUCAAUUGAUUUUGAUGAGAACAAAGUUGAUACUUAUGAUGAUUAUUGUGAUGAUACUUAUGUUAUAAAAAGUAGUGAUGAUUAUAUUUACAAAACUUGUCAUGAUUAUGAUUACCCUUUUUCUGAACAUUACUCUUUUAAUGUGGAAACAAUUUAUAGUAUUCGAGUUUCUUAUGAUACUCCCACUAUUCCGAAUGAGAAGAAUUUUGCUUAUGUGGAGAGUAAUAAAAUUUCUAUGCUUGUAGAUCAUGAAAAUAAUGCUUUAUGUGACGGUUAUAUUGUUGAAUUCAUUCAUGAUGCUACUGAAAAUUAUUAUGAGGGAGGAAUAUAUGCUUGUAGGGAUUGCAAUGAUAUCAAGUUUCCUCUCUAUGUGUUGAAAAUCUUGAAGCUUGCUUGUUUUGCUUUCCUAUGCUAG
rnacentral:rRNA from 1 species